rnacentral:rRNA from 1 species
UGGGGAAUAUUGGACAAUGGGGGAAACCCUGAUCCAGCGACGCCGCGUGGGUGAAGAAGGCCUGCGGGUUGUAAAGCCCUUUCGGUUGGGAAGAAAAGUUGCGACCUAACACGUCGCGACCUUGACGUAACCAACUAAAGAAGCACCGGCUAACUCUGUGCCAGCAGCCGCGGUAAUACAGAGGGUGCGAGCGUUAAUCGGAAUUACUGGGCGUAAAGCGCGCGUAGGCGGCUUGGCAAGUCGGGUGUGAAAUCCCCGGGCUCAACCUGGGAACUGCAUUCGAGACUGCUUUGCUAGAGUAUGGGAGAGGGAAGUGGAAUUUCCGGUGUAGCGGUGAAAUGCGUAGAUAUCGGAAGGAACAUCAGUGGCGAAAGCGACUUCCUGGACCAAUACUGACGCUCAUGUGCGAAAGCGUGGGGAGCAAAC